rnacentral:rRNA from 1 species
GGAACAGGGUGUCAUAGAGGGUGAGAACCCCAGUUUACGGCGUUUGUCUUAUGCUUAUGUGAAUCUCUUUCGAUGAGUCGAGUUGUUUGGGAAUGCAGCUCUAAAUGGGUGGUAAAUUCCAUCUMAAGCUAAAUACUGGCAAGAGACCGAUAGCGCACAAGUAGAGUGAUCGAAAGAUGAAAAGAACUCUGAACAGAGAGUUAAAUAGUACGUGAAAUUGUUGAAAGGGAAGCACUUACUACCAGACACACUUGUAGCUGAUCAGCCUCCAAUUUUGGUGGUGCACUCAGUUGUAAGUGGGUCAGCAUCAGUUACAGCGGUGGGAAAAAGACUUUGGGAAUGUGGCUUCCUUCUGGAAGUGUUAUAGCCCAUUGUGUAAUGCUACCUGUAGUGACUGAGGACCGCGCUUCGGCAAGGAUGCUGGCAUAAUGGUCGUAAGUGACCCGUCUUGAAACACGGACCAAGGAGUCUAACAUCUAUGCAAGUGUUUGGGUGUAAAAACCCUUGCGCGAAAUGAAAGUAAAUGCAGAUGGGAAGCGGAAACGCCCCCCAUCGACCGAUCCUGAGGUUUCCGGAUGGAUUUGAGUAGGAGCAUAGCUGUUGGGACCCGAAAGAUGGUGAACUAUGCCUGAAUAGGGUGAAGCCAGAGGAAACUCUGGUGGAGGCUCGCAGCGGUUCUGACGUGCAAAUCGAUCGUCAAAUUUGGGUAUAGGGGCGA